AUGGAAACAAAAUUGAAAAUACAGAGAAACGAAAGCUCCUCUUCAUCUUCAUAUACCCUUUUCGUUCAUCAAUUGUCCCAACAACAACCUUCAGCUACCUCACUGAGCACUCGCUCAUUCCUCCGUCAAGCACCUUGCUCAGUGAGACAACCAACACUUCACCUCCGGGAUACUUCCUCUGAUCUACUCAUCAAUCUCCCUUCAAUUUCCGUAACUUCCCUCUACAGCGUCACCAUCCAACACCAUAGCCCACUGUUCCAAUAUACUCCACAACGCAACACCUUCACCCGUCGGACUUUCCAUAUCCUCCCUUCAAACAUAUUCCCCUGUUAUUGUGAUUACAUGCUUUGUCUGUGA